AGAGCAUAUAAGGAAUGCUGGUGUCCACAGAAGCCAGAGAGAAAGAAAAAACGAUGGCUCCCCACAAGGACAUGAGGGACCGGAGGAUCCUGUGUCAUAGCAUUUUGCAGAGCAUGUCAAGUAUGAAAACCUCCGCCGUUCUUGAUGAUUAAGGUGGCCUUCUAGGAGGUGACCUUGAGCAGGAACAUUGGACUUAGGAGGGAAGCUACCUUGGAACAGAGAGUUUUGGAUUUGAAGCCUGCUGAAGUCUAGGCCAAGGGAAACUCAUUGAACUCGGGAAGUAAACACCUCAAAGGCUUCAGAAAUUCCUGGAAUAUUGACAGAGUCACAAGUCCUCCACCCAAGCUUAUAGGAGCCGUAAGGACUUCUGAGAGACACGCCAAGAGACAAGCCAUGUGGCAGAAGCCCAGAACAGAGCUGGCUGGAAGAGGCAGAGGCAGCGGAAGUACAGGAAGAGUCUCAGAUCAACAGAGCUCCGGGAAAGCGCAUGCUCCGGCUGUGGAGCGACCUGCAGGCUGUGCAUAGGUUCCCGGCCUUGUUGGUGAUACUAUUGGGGAGACGUAUAAGAUGUGACCUUGUUGGAGAAAGUAACCGUGAGCUUUGAGAGUUUAAAGACUGGUGCCAUUUUGAGCUCCCCCAAUCUGCUUCCUGUUUAUAGUUCACAAUGUAAGCUCUCCGCUUCUGCUCUUAGUAUGUAGUUCCUGCUGCCUCUGCUCCACCAUCCUGGACUCCCCUCCAGAACCCUAAUCCCAAUAAACUCUUUUUUCUACAA